rnacentral:rRNA from 1 species
UACAGGGGGUGCAAACGUUGCUCGGAAUUAUUGGGCGUAAAGCGCACGUAGGCGGUUCGUUAUGUCGGAUGUGAAAGCCCUUGGCUCAACUGAGGAAGUGCAUCCGAAACUGGCGAGCUAGAGUAUGUAAGAGGGUCGCGGAAUUCCCGGUGUAGAGGUGAAAUUCGUAGAUAUCGGGAGGAACACCGGUGGCGAAGGCGGCGACCUGGGACAAUACUGACGCUGAGGUGCGAAAGCAUGGGGAGCGAACAGG